UACGAGAGGCCCAAACGUUAUUCGGAAUUACUGGGCUUAAAGAGUUCGUAGGCGGCAUUGCAAGUAGGGUGCGAAAGCCCUCGGCUCAACCGAGGAAUUGCGCUCUAAACUGCAGUGCUCGAGGAAGCUAGAGGUGAGCAGAACAGAUGGUGGAGCGGUGAAAUGCGUUGAUAUCAUCUGGAAUACCGGAGGCGAAGGCGGCUCACUGGGGCUUUUCUGACGCUGAGGAACGAAAGCCAGGGUAGCGAACGGG
rnacentral:rRNA from 1 species